GACAGAGGAGCCAAGCGUUGUCCGGAUUGACUGGGCGUAAAGCGCACGCAGGCGGAUGCGCGCGUGGGGUGUGAAAUCUGGCCGCUUAACGGCCAGGCGCCAUCCCAUACGGCGCGUCUGGAGUGAUGCAGAGGUCGAUGGAAUUGCCGGUGUAGUGGUGAAAAUGCGUAGAGAUCGGCAGGAACACCCAGGGGGGAAACCAGUCGACUGGGCAUCUACUGACGCUGAGGUGCGAGAGCGUGGGGGAGCGAACCGGA
rnacentral:rRNA from 1 species